rnacentral:lncRNA from 1 species
AACACAAAAAUUAGCCGGGCAUGAUGACUCUCAUCUCUUACUGUAUAAAGAGUGGAGAGAUCCUUGGAAUGAAGAUAACCAAGAUGACACAUUGAAAAAAAUGGCAGAUCUUUCCCUUGGACUGUACCAUGUUUAAAAUGUGAGUCUAUAUUCUCAUGACAAAUGUUUUUGUCAUCUUCUACUUAAGUGGAACGCACCAUACAAGAGGACCUGUGUUAGAAAACUUACCUGUAUCUUCUGGGACACCCGUUUUUUUGUUGUUGUUGUUUUUUGUUUGUUUGUUUUUUGUUUUUGUUUUUUUGAGACAGAGUCUCA